rnacentral:rRNA from 1 species
GAUGAACGCUGGCGGCGUGCCUAAUACAUGCAAGUCGAGCGAACAGACGAGGAGCUUGCUCCUCUGACGUUAGCGGCGGACGGGUGAGUAACACGUGGAUAACCUACCUAUAAGACUGGGAUAACUUCGGGAAACCGGAGCUAAUACCGGAUAAUAUAUUGAACCGCAUGGUUCAAUAGUGAAAGACGGUUUUGCUGUCACUUAUAGAUGGAUCCGCGCCGCAUUAGCUAGUUGGUAAGGUAACGGCUUACCAAGGCAACGAUGCGUAGCCGACCUGAGAGGGUGAUCGGCCACACUGGAACUGAGACACGGUCCAGACUCCUACGGGAGGCAGCAGUAGGGAAUCUUCCGAAAAGGGCGAAAGCCUGACGGAGCAACGCCGCGUGAGUGAUGAAGGUCUUCGGAUCGUAAAACUCUGUUAUUAGGGAAGAACGAAUGUGUAAGUAACUAUGCACGUCUUGACGGUACCUAAUCAGAAAGCCACGGCUAACUACGUG